GUAGGGAAUAUUGGUUAAUGGGCGAAAGCCUGAACCAGCAACGCCGCGUGUGCGAUGAAGGCCUUCGGGUCGUAAAGCACUUUUUGAAGGGAUGAGGAAGGACAGUACCUUCAGAAUAAGUCUCGGCUAACUACGUGCCAGCAGCCGCGGUAAAACGUAGGAGACAAGCGUUAUCCGGAUUUACUGGGCGUAAAGCGCGUGCAGGCGGCACGGAAAGUUGGAUGUGAAAGCUCCCGGCUUAACUGGGAGAGGUCGUUCAAAACUACCGAGCUAGAGGAUGGGAGAGGGAAGUGGAAUUCCGGGUGUAGUGGUGAAAUGCGUAGAUAUCCGGAGGAACACCAGUGGCGAAAGCGGCUUCCUGGCCCAUAACUGACGCUCAGACGCGAAAGCUAGGGUAGCAAACGGGAUUAGAUACCCGUGUAGUCC
rnacentral:rRNA from 1 species